rnacentral:rRNA from 2 species
CUGCGGAAGGAUCAUA